UACGAAGGGGGCUAGCGUUGUUCGGAAUCACUGGGCGUAAAGCGCACGUAGGCGGAUUUUUAAGUCAGGGGUGAAAUCCCGAGGCUCAACCUCGGAAUUGCCUUUGAUACUGGAGAUCUUGAGUCCGGAAGAGGUAAGUGGAACUGCGAGUGUAGAGGUGAAAUUCGUAGAUAUUCGCAAGAACACCAGUGGCGAAGGCGGCUUACUGGUCCGGAACUGACGCUGAGGUGCGAAAGCGUGGGGAGCAAACAGG
rnacentral:rRNA from 1 species